rnacentral:misc_RNA from 1 species
GUAGGUGAACCUGCGGAAGGAUCAUUAUUGAAUGAACUUGACUCGUUGUUGCUGGUCCUUUCGGGGGCAUGUGCACACUUGUCAUCUUUAUAUUUCCACCUGUGCACAUUUUGUAGGUCCAAAAAAUUUUUCCCGAGACACUCGUUUUGGGGGACUGCCGUUCGUUAAUGUCGGCUUCCCCUGUUGGCCUGUAUAGGUCAAAAUUUUUUUUCCGAGACACUCGUUUGGGGCACUGCCGUCCGUUAGGUCGGCUUGCCUUGGAUUUAUUGGCCUAUGUUUUCAUAUACACCAUAAUGUAAUAGAAUGUUAUUAAUGGGCUUUGCCUAUAAACUAUAUACAACUUUCAGCAACGGAUCUCUUGGCUCUC